CCUACGGGUGGCAGCAGUGGGGAAUCUUGGACAAUGGGCGAAAGCCUGAUCCAGCCAUGCCGCGUGAAUGAUGAAGGCCCUAGGGUUGUAAAAUUCUUUCAGCGGGGAAGAUAAUGACGGUACCCGCAGAAGAAGCCCCGGCUAACUCCGUGCCAGCAGCCGCGGUAAUACGGAGGGGGCUAGCGUUGUUCGGAAUUACUGGGCGUAAAGCGGGUGUAGGCGGAUCGCUAAGUCGGGGGUGAAAGCCCAGGGCUCAACCCUGGAACUGCCUUCGAUACUGGCGAUCUCGAGUGUGGGAGAGGUGAGCGGAAUUCCGAGUGUAGAGGUGAAAUUCGUAGAUAUUCGGAGGAACACCAGAGGCGAAGGCGGCUCACUGGACCAUUACUGACGCUGAGACCCGAAAGCGUGGGGAGCAAACAGGAUUAGAUACCCUAGUAGUC
rnacentral:rRNA from 1 species